UGGGGAAUAUUGGACAAUGGGCGCAAGCCUGAUCCAGCCAUGCCGCGUGAGUGAUGAAGGCCCUAGGGUUGUAAAGCUCUUUCAACGGUGAAGAUAAUGACGGUAACCGUAGAAGAAGCCCCGGCUAACUUCGUGCCAGCAGCCGCGGUAAUACGGAGGGGGCUAGCGUUGUUCGGAAUUACUGGGCGUAAAGCGCACGUAGGCGGACCAGAAAGUUGGGGGUGAAAUCCCGGGGGCUCAACCCCGGAACUGCCUCCAAAACUAUUGGUCUAGAGUUCGAGAGAGGUGAGUGGAAUUCCAAGUGUAGAGGUGAAAUUCGUAGAUAUUUGGAGGAACACCAGUGGCGAAGGCGGCUCACUGGCUCGAUACUGACGCUGAGGUGCGAAAGUGUGGGGAGCAAACAGGAUUAGAUACCCUGGGUAGUCCACACCGUAAAACGAUGAAUGCCAGUCGUCGGGUAGCAUGCUAUUCGGUGACACA
rnacentral:rRNA from 1 species